rnacentral:tRNA from 2 species
GAGUGUUUUCAGGCUAGAGCUGUCUCUUAAUCAGCGGGUCCUAGGUUCGAGCCCUGGUGCGCCCACCA